AUUGAACGCUGGCGGCAGGCCUAACACAUGCAAGUCGAGCGGAUGAAGGGAGCUUGCUCCUGGAUUCAGCGGCGGACGGGUGAGUAAUGCCUAGGAAUCUGCCUGGUAGUGGGGGAUAACGUCCGGAAACGGGCGCUAAUAACGCAUACGUCCUGAGGGAGCAAGUGGGGGGUCUUCGGACCUCACGCUAUCAGAUGAGCCUAGGUCGGAUUAGCUAGUUGGUGGGGUAAAGGCCUACCAAGGCGACGAUCCGUAACUGGUCUGAGAGGAUGAUCAGUCACACUGGAACUGAGACACGGUCAAGACUCCUACGGGAGGCAGCAGUGGGGAAUAUUGGACAAUGGGCGAAAGCCUGAUCCAGCCAUGCCGCGUGUGUGAAGAAGGUCUUCGGAUUGUAAAGCACGUUAAGUUGGGAGGAAGGGCAGUAAGUUAAUACCUUGCUGUUUUGACGUUACCAACAGAAUAAGCACCGGCUAACUUCGUG
rnacentral:rRNA from 1 species